GCUAAGGGGAAAGCCCUUUUUUAUUUCCAACAGGACACACCUGGCAAUGGAUGUGACAUUCAGCACUGCCCAGGUUUCUUCCACUUGGAGGAGGCAAACUGGUGAAUGGAAGGAGGCAAUCCUCUGGCAGUGGGAUGCUAGGGAGUGAUAAUAAGGCAAGUUUGCUUGUUUGAAGGCUGCUGGUAUCCGUGGUUGGAAGCUGGCGGACGUCUCAUGAUGGAGCUAACAGUAGCUUCUGGCACAAUGGGACACCAUGAUAGAGGCCAGAGUGCAUGGAAACACCAUUUACCUUCCUGCCACAGUAGUACCUAUUUAUCUACUUGCGCUGGUGUGGUUUCAAACUUCUAGGUAGGCAGAAGCUGGGACGGAGCAACGGGAGCUCACCCCAUUGCGCAGAUUUGAACUGCCAACCUUCCGAUCAGCAAGCCCAAGAGACUCAGUGGUUGACACCACAGCACCACCCGCUCCCCUACAAAGUUGUGGACCAGACUGCCAUCCUCAGCCAGGCACAGAAAGACAUGUUGGAAAGAUCAAAGCAGUAGGACUGAGCAGUAGGAUUAAGGUUGGAAGCCCAUGGCCACCACCAGAGUCCUCUUAAACAGUAGCUGUCGCGCUAUGACAACAAGUAGGGGUGGUGGGUCUCCCUUGGUACACCUAGAACUCAAGUAUUGUCUUCCUCUUGGUGACUUCUUGCCACUUAUGCCAUGAAGGUGCUGUUUUGUGCAGACCAACAGCAGGGACAGAAGAACUCUGGGUGGGGUGAAUUUUUAACACUCCACUGUAACCGUGGACUUUUCCAGAUAAUAAAUAAAUAAAUAAAUUACACCAGCCACUCUGGAUGGCUUCCAACAAAAUACAGCUUCACAGUUUCAUCCUAAAACAUCUUCUCUUCAGUUUGCUCCAUGGAGUGCAAUCGAAGGGUAAAAAAUUUGCAAGAUCUCUCACCGCUCAGCUUAAAACAGGAGUGCCCAAACUUUUUUCAAAGAGGGCCAGAUUUGAUGAAGUGAACAUGCAUGAGGGCCGACCAAAGGUGUUGAGCUUUUUUUUAGGAUUGAAGUUGUUGAACUUUUUUUUAAGGAUUUUACACCAAAGUUGUUAACCUUUGUUGUUGUUAACCCAGAGAAGGAACCGCCUGGACAUGCCUGGCUUAAAAUCUCUCCUUCCCAAUGCUGCGUUUCAGCAGGAAAGAUGGUGCCCAUGGCCAUAUUGACCUGUGGACGCGGGUGGUGCUGUGGGUUAAACCACAGGGCCCAGGACUUGCCAAUCAAAAGGUCGGCGGUUCGAAUCCCCGCGACGGGUUGAACUCCCAUUGCUUGGUCCCUGCUCCUGCCAACCUAGCAGUUCAAAAGCACAUCAAAGUGCAAGUAGAUAAAUAGAUACCGCUCCAGCGGGAAGGUAAACGACAUUUCCGUGCACUACUCUGGUUCGCCACAUGCUGGCCACAUGACCCGGAAGCUGUACGCCAGCUCCCUCAGUGAAUAAAGCAAGCUGCAACCCCAGAGUGAGUGAGUGCUGCAACCCCAGAGUCAGCCACGACUGGACCUAAUGGUCAGGGGUCCCUUUACCUUUUUACCUGCUCAGUCUACUGCCCAGGUGUUGCAGUCGGGCAACUUCAAGGUCCCUGCUCUCUGUUCUUGUGGUUCUUUAGCUUGAAACUGAACUUGGAUUGAGCAACCUUUCAAUACCAUUGUCCUGUGUAAAAUAGGACACAUGAUCAUCUUAUUUUGAGAGCAUCUGAAGAAUUCUCAAAUCCAUUGUGGGAACUUAGUGCGUCACAUUCCACCCCACCCCCCAAAAAAGUGAUAUCGGCUUCUUCUUUUUUUCUUGCAGAGUACAGGUUUCUUACUGGGCAGUAUGAAAGAACAGUAAAAAAGGGUAAUUGCCAUCAAAGCUGGAAGUUUGUCAAAUGGAAAUGUUGUAAAAAACAGGCCAGACUGCAGCCGCCUGGCCUUUAAAAGUGCUCCUGUUGCUUGAUAGAGGAAGACAAACAAUUCUCCUUCUCCUUUUUGCACAAAGAAAGGUUCCACUGUGUUUCCCUUCCCCAUUAAAGGUUUUUCACACCACAGGGCAGGCAGGGGCGCUACUAGUGAAAUAAGAGCUCUUUGUGCUCCUCUUCACUUUUAUGAAUUUGAUCCUCUACUGUAAAAGUCUAGAAGAGUUUCCCUACUGGCUUUCACUAGACUGUGAUUUCUGUUUCUUAAAAAUGCCUCCACAGAGUGGAUUUUAUUUUAUUUUUUAAAUGAUAUCUAUUAAAGUUUCAAAGAAUACAAAAACAAAAAAUAAAAAUACAAGAAAAUACAAAAUACAGAAAAAAGAAUAAAGUUUUUAAGAUAUAGCAAAAAAAAGAAAAAUGAAGAAAAACAUACAAGAUAAAAACAGUUAAAAACAUGUUAACUUUCCAUAGCAUAUCUUCCUUACACUUAUUUCCCCGGACUCCUCAUACCUCCCUUUUUUGUAUUCCAGUUCAGUUUGUUAGUUCAGCAAAUCCUUACCAUUAAGCUUUACCCAUUUGUAAACCUUUUUUCAUAUCUCUUAAAGCAUUACAGCUGGAAACCACUUAGUUUCUAUCCAACAUCCUUCUAAGAUUCCUUAAUUUUACAAUAUUUCUGUAAAUAAUCUUUAAAUAUCUUCCAAUCUUCUUUCACCGACUCUUCUCCCUGGUCUCGGAUUCUGCCAGUCAUUUCUGCCAAUUCCAUGUAGUCAAUCACCUUCAUCUGCCAUUCUUCCAGAGUGGGUAGAUCUCACAGAGUGGAUUUUAUUGUGAUCAGUGCAUACGGACGUUGUUCCCCUUUAUAGGUGAUAUACAAGAGCAGAUCAAUAUAUCUAAAGCAGGGAAAAUUUACUCUUGGAAAGCUGCAGGUUGUUGUAUUUGGAUCAUUUCCAUAGCUAUUUUUGAAGCUAAAUAAAUAGAUUUGGGGCUGGCGUGUAAGUGGGAGUGAUAUUGUGCUAACACUUCAUUAGCAGAGAGGCUGUCUCUCUCCAGUGCCUUUUAUCUGAGGAAUAAGCUCACAAUAAUCUGCUAUCAAAGGAAAGGAAAUUUCCACAGCCCACUACAGAUAACCUUUUUUAAAAAAGAAGAUGAAGAAGAGUUGCAUCAUCAUCAUCAUUAUUAUUAUUAUUAUUAUUAUUAUUAUUAUUAUUUUAAGCCCAUUUAAUUUGUAUUAUUUUAAGAAAGAAAAACAAUGGGUUGGUAUCUAUGAAAGGGACAUCCUUGAUUUUCCAGGGACAUCCCCAAUUUAGAGAAGUCAUCCCAGUUUCUGAUCUGAUCCUGGAAUUUCCCACUUUUCCUUAGAUGUCCCUAUUUUCAUGGGAGAAAUGUUGGAGGGUAUGGAGUUAUCCAACCCCCGAGCUGCCUGAAGGCAAUCUGGUAUACAAAAGGUUUUUUAAAAAAUGUUUUAUUACAUUUUUAUGUAUGUUGGAAGCUGCCCAGUAUGGCUGGGGCAAACCAGUAGUAUGCGUGGGGUAGAAGUAGUAGAAUUAUCAUUAUGGAAUGGGACGUCCCUAUUUUCAACAGAGAAAUGUUGGAGGGUUUGAUAACCGCUUAUGUGCUUUUAGCGAUAUCUAUAUUUGUUUUAAAUUUUGUGAGCUGCCUUUACUCCCAUUUCUGGGGGAAAGGCAGGAUAAAAAUAAAAAAAAUAAUAAAAAAAAUAAAAUAAAUAAAAAAAAUAAAAUAAAACACUAUUAGAGAAAAAGCAACAAUUAAACUUGUGGGUGCAUUUACAGUGGUACCUUGGGUUAAGAACUUAAUUUGUUCUGGAGGUCCGUUCUUAACCUAAAACUGUUCUUAACCUGAGGUACCACUUUAGCUAAUGGGGCCUCCCGCUGCUGCCGCGCCGCCGGAGCACGAUUUCUGUUCUCAUCCUGAAGCAAAGUUCUUAACCCGAGGUACUAUUUCUGGGUUAGCAGAGUCUGUAACCUGACGUGUCCGUAACCCAAGGUACCACUGUACAAUGACCUGGUUUGUGUGUCAUGUUCAAACCUAGUCACAUUAAUGUUAGCCAACCAUAGUUUACCUUGGCUACCAGUUAUGGUUUGUUUAAACCCAGUUUUGAGUGACAUGCGAAGUCUAGCUUUAUGGUUUGUUGCUCCUGGUCCAGCCAGAAGCUGGAGGGAGGCAAAGCAACCACCUUUGAGUAAUAUGCACCAGCACACUGCUUGUUCAGGCAUUAACUAUAGUUUACGGUGACAUGCAAACCAUUAUAGAUGCUAAUAGGCAGGAAUAUCUCAGUUGACUUUGAAAGACUUUACGCCGGAGCCUGAAUAUUUAAUAGCUGGAUCCUCCAACUUUUCUUGUCAUGGGAAGAUAAAUUAUGGCACCAAUUUCUGGCUUUCUAAUAAAUGCUGUGAUGGUCCAAGCUAAUCUUGGCUGAACCCUUUGCAACUGGACUUCGGAGAUCUGACAUUUGAGACCAAGUAGCCUGCUGUUGUAUUAGCAGUAAAAAAUCUCAGAGGAGUAGACUUGGGGUUUUGUUUCUGUUUUUAAUGUUUUAAAAGAGAUCAAAUUAUAACAUGAGAAUUCCUGAUGGUCUUUCAGGAUGGUGGCCAGCCAAGAAUGCUCCAGGGAAAGAAAGAAAUUAAUAUUGGCAAUGGUAAUAAUUCACACAAGGACUUCCUUCUAAAUCGAGGCUUCCAAAAACAAUUCCAAAAGAGGCAUCUCUGGAAAGAAAGGAGAGGAAAGAGUGAAAACUGGGAAAUAGACCUCCUAGCCAGACUGAAGACUUGGAUGAUGCGUUCCAAGUAGUAAGCACUCUGGGUGGAGAAGAUGGAGAAAAGCUACUGGGUGACAGAAAAAAAGGCUCAACACCUACCUUGCCACUGUCUUUAUCCAAAAGGAAAGCACUGGUAAUAACAGUGCUUUCUGUUAGCACCAGAC
rnacentral:lncRNA from 1 species